rnacentral:lncRNA from 1 species
CAAUUUUUCAAGGGGAAUAACUCCUUAUAAGGGUUAAUAACAAAAUAAUUGUACAUGUUCAUUAACAUUGCCAUCUGUUCCUGUACAUGUUGCCGUUUUCAAAUCGAUUCUAUCUCUUAUACUUUUUGAGAAAAAUGCAAAGAAAAGAAAUUGUUUCAAGGGGAUAUAACUCUCAUAAGGGACGAUGAAAUCCUAUUCAGCCUCACAUGGUAAUACAUCAUGAUGAGAUCUACAUUAUGUCCAAUUAAGGUCAUGAUAUCUUUAAAACUAACGAGGGGGGGCCAUGUUGAAAAAAAUCAAUAAAUGGGAGAUAACUCCUAAAGGGGAUGAUGAAAUCCUUAACACGGUCAUUUGGUAAUACAUCUUGGUGAGGUCUAUCGAUGGUCCAUAUUUGGUUAUACUAACUUCAACAGAAACAAGAGGCGGGCAUGUCAAACAAAUGUUGGAAGAAAAAAAAGAAAAAGAAAAAACGGAAG